rnacentral:rRNA from 1 species
ACACAGUUAUUAACCGUGUCCGUUUCUUCCCAUCUGAAAGAGCUUACAACCCGAAGGCCUUCUUCACUCACGCGGCAUGGCUGGAUCAGGCUUUCGCCCAUUGUCCAAAAUUCCCCACUGCUGCCUCCCGUAGG